CAUACUGCCGUGAAUACGUUCCCGGGCCUUGUACACACCGCCCGUCACACCAUGAGAGUUGGGAAUACCCGAAGCCUGUGAGCUAACUUAUAGAGGCAGCAGUCGAAGGUAGAAUCCAAUGAUUGGGGUGAAGUCGUAACAAGGUAAC
rnacentral:rRNA from 1 species